GAUGUAGUCUUGCUCUGUCACCCAGGCUGGAGUGCAGUGGCUCACUGCAACCUCCCGCGUAGCUGGGAUUACAGGCGCCCGCCACCACGCCUGGCUGAUUUGUGUAUUUUUAGUAGAGACAGGGUUUCACCAUGUUGGCCAGGCUGGUCUCGAACUCCUGACCUUGUAAUCCACCCACCUGAGCCUCCCAAAGUGCUGGGAUUACAGGCAUGAGCCACCGCACCCGGCCCCAUUAGUAACCUCUUUCUGUUUCAGGAUCCAAUCCAGGGUAGCACAUUGCAUUUAGCUGUGAUCAGAUCAUGAAUCUGUAAUGCUUAUAUAGGUUCCCUAAAUGUGUGGUUUUCAGCCUCAGACUACUCCCCUAAUCCUAGACGCCUGUCCUCUGCCUAGCCCUUAUCACCAAAAAGGGGCCCAGGGGGCACUGUGGAUUAUGUACAGUAAACACCUCUAGAGGGUGGUCCAUGACGCCCCUCUGAUCCACUAAGUCCUAUGCUCACUGCUCAAUGCACACCAGAUUUUCUUGUGGGGUAAGGAAAUGUUUUAGAACCAGACAGAGGUAGUGGAUGUACACUAUUGUGAAGGCACAUCAAGCCAAGGAGCAUUCACUUUAAAACGGUUAAUUUCAAGUUAUGUGAAUUUCACCUUGAUCUACAAAAGAGUCCUGUGCUUCCUGGCACACUGUGGACACAACCAUUCUUCAUCGUGGGGAUAACUCGGACCAAGCUUUCAAAAUCACAUCCCCCUCUGUGUAAAUCCCGUCAGUGGUUUCUCACUGAAUUAAGGAUAAAAUCCGAAUUCUGCACCAGGGCCUAGAGGCACCUCCCUGACCUGAGCCCUGCCUUCUACCUCCACUUCAUCCCCACUUCACGGGGCUGGCUCCUCCUCCUCACACUGCCUGCCUCAGUUUCCCCUACAAAGGCUUCCUCUGACUAGCCUAAUCAGAAGGAGGCCCCCUUGUGUUUCCUGGCCACAGCCCCCAGUUAAUCACCUGGAGUCAUUUGUUAGGCUUCCUUGCCUGUUGGAGUUUCCUCUGUGGCCCUGGCACCUAACAGUGCCUGGCACAGAGCAAAGGGGCUCAGUGGAUACUUUUUUUUUUUUUUUUGAGAUGGAGUCUCAUCUGUCACCCAGGCUGGAGUGCAAUGGCACAAUCUGGGCUCACUGCAACCUCUGUCUCCCAGGUUUAAGCAAUUCUUCUGCCUCAGCCUCCUGAGUAGCUAGGAUUAUAGGCGCCCGCCACCAUGCCCGGCUAAUUUUAUAUUUUUAGUACAGACAGGGUUUUGCCAUAUUGGCUAGGCUGGUCUUGAACUCCUGACCUCAGGUGAUCUGCCUACCUUGGCCUCCCAAAGUGCUGGGGAGUGGACACCUGUUGUUGAGCUGGAUGAGGGAAUGAAUGAGAUGAUGGCCAACUCUCUUAUUUCACUACUGGAUGAGACCAGAGACAGAAGAUGGAUGAGAACAGAAGAAGCCGGCUGCUGCCCUGCAGGGAGCUGGCCCUGAGUACUGUGGGGACUGGUGGGGGUGUGGCGGUGGGGACAGAAUCCUCAUCAGCCACAGGGCCUGAGUUAGUCCAGGGAAGGGGCCCUGCACUGUCAGGAGCUGGGGAAAUGAAUUUUCUCUGGUCACUUUUCAUUUCGUCUGACAUUUCCCAUAACAGUUUUUCAUAAGGAAGCCCAAUAUCUGAAAAAGAUACAGUGUCCCCAGAGCACAAAGUGGGGAAGGGGCAGGGUGAGGGAGUGCCAGCCUGCUUCCCUUGGCCCAUCCCUUGGGCACCAGUGGAGACCGCUAGGGCUCUGAGAAACCGAGUUUUAAAACUAGGUUUUCAGAAUACAGUUUUUUUCCAGAAUGUCAUACAUAUGGAAUCAGACAGUGAGCAUCCUUUUCUGUCUGGCUUUUUUCACUUUUUCAAAAGCCUCUGAUUUGAGACCAAUGUUUAAACCUCAAAGCAUUCACGUUUUCCUAAUGCCGCUUGAGUAAGAAGCAAAAAGUAAAACUUACCUUCUGGAAUACUUGAUAGUUGGAUUUGGACCAUAUAUCAAGCUGAGGGGAAAGGAGAGAAGGAUCAUCAGCAUCGGUCUUAGAAUUCGGGACUUCAAGAAAUAAUAUUGUAACUACUGUUAAC
rnacentral:lncRNA from 1 species